GAUGAACGCUAGCGGCAGGCUUAAUACAUGCAAGUCGAGGGGCAGCAUGAAUGUAGCAAUACAUUUGAUGGCGACCGGCAAACGGGUGCGGAACACGUACACAACCUUCCUAUAAGUGGGGAAUAGCCCAGAGAAAUUUGGAUUAAUACCCCGUAACAUAAUGAUGUGGCAUCACAUUAUUAUUAUAGCUACGGCGCUUAUUGAUGGGUGUGCGGCUGAUUUGAUAGUUGGCGGGGUAACGGCCCACCAAGUCUACGAUCAGUAGCUGAUGUGAGAGCAUGAUCAGCCACACGGGCACUGAGACACGGGCCCGACUCCUACGGGAGGCAGCAGUAAGGAAUAUUGGUCAAUGGACGCAAGUCUGAACCAGCCAUGCCGCGUGAAGGAUUAAGGUCCUCUGGAUUGUAAACUUCUUUUAUCUGGGACGAAAAAAGGCUAUUCUUAGUCACUUGACGGUACCAGAUGAAUAAGCACCGGCUAACUCCGUGCCAGCCGCCGCCGUAAAAC
rnacentral:rRNA from 1 species